GAGUUUGAUCAUGGCUCAGAUUGAACGCUGGCGGCAGGCCUAACACAUGCAAGUCGAGCGGAUGAAGGGAGCUUGCUCCUGGAUUCAGCGGCGGACGGGUGAGUAAUGCCUAGGAAUCUGCCUGGUAGUGGGGGAUAACGUCCGGAAACGGGCGCUAAUACCGCAUACGUCCUGAGGGAGAAAGUGGGGGAUCUUCGGACCUCACGCUAUCAGAUGAGCCUAGGUCGGACUAGCUAGUUGGUGGGGUAAAGGCCUACCAAGGCGACGAUCCGUAACUGGUCUGAGAGGAUGAUCAGUCACACUGGAACUGAGACACGGUCCAGACUCCUACGGGAGGCAGCAGUGGGGAAUAUUGGACAAUGGCGAAAGCCUGAUCCAGCCAUGCCGCGUGUGUGAAGAAGGUCUUCGGAUUGUAAAGCACUUUAAGUUGGGAGGAAGGGCAGUAAGUUAAUACCUUGCUGUUUUGACGUUACCAACAGAAUAAGCACCGGCUAACUUCGUGCCAGCAGCCG
rnacentral:rRNA from 1 species